rnacentral:sRNA from 1 species
GCCAGGCAUGGUGGCACACGCCUGUAAUCCCAGGCUCAGGAGGCUGAGAUAGGAGAAUUGUGAGUUCAAAGUCAGCCUCAGCAAUUUAGGGAAGGCUUAAGCAAUUCAGUGAGACCCUAUCUCUA